rnacentral:rRNA from 1 species
CAGCAGCCGCGGUAAUACGAAGGUCCCGAGCGUUGUUCGGAAUCACUGGGCGUAAAGGGAGCGUAGGCGGCGUGGUAAGUCAGAUGUGAAAUCCCGGGGCUCAACCCCGGAACUGCAUCCGAUACUGCCAUGCUAGAGGAUUGGAGAGGUAGCUGGAAUUCUUGGUGUAGCAGUGAAAUGCGUGGAGAUCAAGAGGAACACUCGUGGCGAAGGCGAGCUACUGGACAAUAACUGACGCUGAGGCUCGAAGGCCAGGGUAGCGAAAGGGAUUAGAUACCCCUGUAGUCCCUGUCUCUUAUAC